UUAGAAACUCGCCAGGAACCAAGCCUGCCAGCCCGCGUCCUCCUGUAGCCAAGGGCAACCCUUUGCUAUGGAAGCGUAUCCAGGCUGGAACUAGGCGAAAGGCCUUAGAGAAGAGGGGACGCUAGGGCUCAGCCGCAGAGGACAGAAAAUCGUGUUUCGCCACCUGCUGGCGGAAAUUAGGCGGCCGUGGUGGCGUGCGCCUGUGGUCCCACCAGCUCAGGAUGCUGACGUGGAAGGAUCAACCCAGGAGGCGGAGUUUACAGUGAACCGAGAUCGAGCCACUGCACUCCAGCCUGGGCAACAAAAUGAGACUCUGUCUCAAAAAAGAAGAAGAAAGAAGAAAGAAUAACAAGAAGGAGAAGGAGAGGGAGAGGAAGAGGAGGAGGAGAAGAGGAAGAACAGGAGGAAAAGAAGAAAGAGAAGGAGAAGAAGGAGAACAAGGAGAAGGAGGAGAACAAGGAGAGAUCAAAGAAGAGGAAGAAGAAGAAAAAAGAAGAGGAAGAAAAAGAAGAAGGGUAUUUGGGGUAUCCAUCACCUUGAGUAUUUA
rnacentral:lncRNA from 1 species